rnacentral:rRNA from 1 species
UUAAUUGAGAGUUUGAUCCUGGCUCAGGACGAACGCUGGCGGCGCGCUUAACACAUGCAAGUCGAGCGAUGAAAUUUCGACAGAUCCCUUCGGGGUGAAGAUGAAAUGGAUUAGCGGCGGACGGGUGAGUAACACGUGAGUAACCUGCCUUAGACAUUGGGAUAGCCUCGGGAAACCGGGAUUAAUACC